AUUGAACGCUAGCGGGAUGCUUUACACAUGCAAGUCGAGCGAGCGGCGGACGGGUGAGUAAUGUAUGGGGACUGCCCGAUAGAGGGGGAUAACUACUGGAAACGGUAACUAAUACCGCAUACUAUCUGAUAACCCCUAUGGGAUUAGCUGGUAGGUGAGGUAAUGGCUCACAUAGGCGACGAUCCCUAGCUGGUUUGAGAGGACGACCAGCAACACGGGGAUUGAGACACGGCCCAGACUCCUACGGAGGCAGCAGGGGGGAAUUUUGGACAAUGGGGGAAACCCUGAGCCAGCCAUCCAGCGUGUAUGAUGAAGGCCUUCGGGUUGUAAAGUAUGUUUGGCAGAGAAGCGGUAUCUGAAGAAUAAGCACCGGCUAACUACGUGCCAGCAGCCGCGGUAAUAC
rnacentral:rRNA from 1 species